CAACCGGACCGAUCCGCACACACCUCCUCUGCACCAACCGCACCGCAACCGCGCGUGACCAUGGCUCGACCGGCGGCGGCUCGUCGGGCUCUCCCGCCGGACGCGGCCGGGGGCGUGAGGCGCAGCGGUGGGAAGGAGAGGAGGCGGUCUCCGCCGGAGACCCCGGCAACGCGUCCUGGUAGACUGCAGCGGCGGGAGAUAGUUGGGUGUUCCAAGGGCAGUAGUAUGGCUUGUCUAGAAAGUGAGGUGUAGAUGUACAGCAACCUCCAAUUCCUAAUCAGGGAUUGUUUUAGUGUGGAGGUUUUCCCAGACAGAUACAAUGCAUCUGCGAUGGGAGAUAGAAGACAGCUCCGUGCUCGUGUACAGUUUCCUUGAAGCUAAUGCUGGAAAAGCAUGGCUCGGGACCAACCGUGUCAAGCGCGCUUUGGAGUGGCUGACUAGAGUGUGCAGUAAGCCGUAUGCUCGCUCCAGCCUCCAGUGCCCGAGGCAAGCAUUACUGUGUGUCUAUGAGCCGUCAUGCCGAGAGCAGCGCUCUAUUAUGGUGAUGCUGGUGCUACCUGAAGCCUAAUGUACUGGACUAUUGAUUGCUUUCCUUCUACACUCUAAACUGAAAAUAACUGUAUGAGCAAAGGAAGUUUAGUGUACUUUCAAGAUGUUGAUAUGAUGCAUAUACAGAUGUUAUUAUUGAUGAAGCUAAUGUGAGUUUCACAUGUUAUUUUUUGUCAUCCA